rnacentral:tRNA from 1 species
GCCUGGGUGGCUCAGUUGGUUGAGCGUCUGACUUCAGCUCAGGUCAUGAUCUUACAGUUUGUGGGUUUGAGCCCCACAUUGGGCU